UUGAUUUUAUAUCUUUGUCGAUGCAUUCGUGGAAGCUUUUAUGUAAAACCUAUGUGAGGACUGAAUAUUCCUUGGACAUCGUUCAAUAUGAUUUUUAAGUUUCUUACAUAUAUAUAUUAAUAUAUUUAUUUUAAAUCUCUUUCGAUGCAUUAGUGGAAGCGUUUAUGUAAAACCUAUGUGAGGACUCAAUAUUCAUUGGAUAUCGUUCAAUAUGAAUUUCACACACAAGAAGGUAGUUAUUGGAUAUUUAUAUUUCUGUUCCCGACGUAUAUAUACUAAUAUUUAUUCUAAAUCUCUUCCGAUGCAUUCUUGGGAGGCUGUAUGUAAAACCUCUGUGCAGACUCGAGAGUCAAUGGAGCUCGUUCGAUUUAUAUUUUGAACACAACAAGCUAAGUUAUUCAAUCUUUACGUUUCUGUUUCCUACUUAUAUAUACCAAUAUUAAUUUUAAAUCUCUUUCGAUGUAAUAGUUGCAGCCUGUAUGUAAAACCUACGAGAUGACUCAACAGUCAAUGGAGAUAGUUCGAUAUGAAUUUCGAACAUAAGAAGGAGCAUAUAUGUAAAACCUCAAUGAGGACUCAAGAGUCAAUGAAGAUCGUUCAAUUUAAUUUCGAAUAUAACCUUUAUUUUUAUGUUUUCAACGUAAUAUAUAUUAGUAUAUUUAUUUUAAAUCUCUUUCGAUGCAUUCCUGGGAGCGUGUAUGAAAACCUAUGUGUCGACUUGGGAGUCAAUUGAGAUAAUUUGAUUUUGAUUUUGAACAAAAUAAUGUAUGUUAUUCAGUCUUUAUGUUUUCGUGUCCUACGUAUACAUACUAAUAUUUAUUUUAAAUCUCUUUCGAUACAUUCGUGGACACUUGUACGUAAAACUUAUGUGGAGAAUCGGGAGUUAAUAAGUUAUUUAGUCAUUAUUUUAUAUUUUCUACAUAUAUAUACUAAUAUUUAUUUUAAAUCUCUUUCAACGCAUUUGAGGGAGCGUGUAUUUAAAACCUAUGUGGAGACUCAAGAGUAAAUGGAGAUCCUUCGAUUUGGAUUUCGAACAUAAAAAGAUACAUUCGUGGAAGCGUGCAUGUAAAACCUAUGUGGAGGCUUAAGAGUCAAUGAAGAUCGUUCAAUUUGGAUUUUGAACAGAAUAAGUGUGCAUCCAAAACCUACGUGGACACUCGAGAGUCCAAGAAGAUCCUUCGAUUUGGAUUUCGAACAUAAAAAGGUAAGUUAUUUUACCUUGCUUUUUUUGUUUCCUACGUAUAUAUACUUAUAUUUAUGUUAAAUCUCUUAUGAUACAAUCGUGGGAGAGUGCAUCUAAAACCUAUGUGGAGACUCGAGAGUUAAUCGAGAACAUUCGGUUUGGAUAUCGAAGACAAGAAGCAUAGCUUCUUUUUUUAUGUUUCAUACGUAUAUAGAUUAAUAUAUUUAUUUUAAAUCUCUUUCGAUGUAUUUGUGGGAGCGUGUGUGUAAAACCUAUAUAAGGGCUCAAUAGUAAAUGAAGAUCAUUCGAUACGAAUUUCGAACACAAGAAGGUAGUUAUUCAAUAUUUAUUUUUAUGUUUCCUACGUAUAUAUACUAAUAUUUAUUUUAAUCUCUUUCGAUACAUUCGUGGGAGCACGUACGUGAAACCUCAAUGGAUAUUAAAGAGUCAAUGGAUGUCGUUAAAUUUAGAUUUUUAACUCAAAAAGGUAAGCCAUUUAAUCUUUAUUUUUAUGUUUCCUACAUAUGUAUAUUAAUAUAUUUAUUUGUAACCUCUUUCCAUGUAUUCGUGUGAGUGUGUACGUAAAAUCUAUGCGAGGACUCCUUAUUCAUUGGAUAUUGUUCGAUAUGAAUUUCAAACACAAGAAGGUGGUUAUUCGAUAUUUAUAUUUCUGUUUCCAACCUACUAAUAUUUACUCUAAAUCUCUUUUGAUGCAUUCAUGGCAGGCUGUAUGUAAAACCUCCGUGCACACUCGAGAGUCAAUGGAGAUCGUUCGAUUUAGAUUUCUAGCAGAACAAGCUAAGUUAUGCAAUCUUUAUGUUUCUGUUUCCUACAUAUAUAUAAAAUAUUUUAUUUUAAAUCUCUUUCGACGCAUUCGUGGCAGCGUGUAUCUAUAACCUAUGUAGAGACUUGAGUGUCCAAGAAGAUCCUUCGAUUUGGAUUUCGAUAAU